UCUGGUUACUAUAGAAAUCUCGUUGUCAGAGAAACUCGGAUAUUGACGAAGUCCGAAAGAAGUUCGGAGUAGGGUCGUCCGCGAUCGAAAGAAGUCCAGAAGGGAUUCGGAGAAUAGUUGAUCACUGUAGAAGGUCGGCUGAUAGUGAGGCCCAGAGAGCCCUUGGAGCGGCCUAGUAGAUGAAUAGAGAAGCUCAUUGUCAGAGAACUCCGGAUGGUAGAGGGGGUUCAGAGAGAUGCCAC
rnacentral:lncRNA from 1 species